AGAGCCCAGGCCUUCAAGAGGAACUUCCUGGAGGCACAGUCCAGCUCAGGAGAGGGGACUUUACCAUCGAGUGAGCUGCCAGGAACAGGGUAGGGAUUUCCAAAUGGGGCAGCAGCUUACCUUCCUGUUUCCAGCAAAGUCAGUCACCCUGUGAAGAGCAGCUCCAUCCAUCUUACCUGGAGCCAACCAGCCUUCUGCCCAAUGUCCAGAAUAGAACCCAGGGA
rnacentral:lncRNA from 1 species